CAGAUGUUAAAGUGUGUUGGUGGGGGGUGUCUCCCCUAAUGCUAUGUCUGCAAAGUCCAAAAUAGCAAUGUGCCAAGAAAUCUCUCUCCAACCCAGUUAUUUCAAGAGGAAACCUGGUGGAGUGGAUGGAAUAGUGGGGUAAGAAUCAAAAGAAUUGGUUUCUCUGUCCAGAUCUGCCACUGCCUACCUGGGUAAUCACAGUCAAGUCACAUCGUCUCUUUGAAUCUUGGAUUAUGGAGCCGGUAAAAUGGGAGUGAAAACACCCUCUUUGGCUACAUGGCUCUCUAGUGAAUCGAAUGUGCAACCGGGGUUGAGAACUUCUGAUCUAGAGGGAAAGCAGGUUGUUAAGAGAUCUAACUUGGAAUCCCAGCUCUGCCCUUAACUUACAUCUCAUAAAAUCCAACAGAAGACCUGAAUAGAUGAAAAGGCUGACUGAGAAGGAAUUCUUCCUGCCUGACUGCAUGAGCUGGGACAUCAGUCCUUUCCUUCAUUCACGCUCGAACUGAAACAUUGGGUCUUCGGGGGACUUGAGCCUGCCACUCUCAGAAUGGAACUUACACCAUCAGCUCUCCUGAGUCUCCUGCUUGACAAUUGCAGAUAUUGGCAUUUCUUAGCCUUCAUAAUCACAUGAGCAAAUUCCACAUAAUAAAU
rnacentral:lncRNA from 1 species